UUCAGACCAUUUGAUGCAUCUUCUGGGCUUGGGUUCGUCUGUAGUGAAGUCCUUAUAUUGGAUCCUCAAUAGGCUGGGCUACUUUAAUAGUUGAGCUUGGGAUGACAAAAGAUGGAUUGUUCUUCAACUGGUAUGUGCCAUUUUCUCAGCUAUGUUAUUUUCAGGUGUGUAGUAAAUUGCCUUGACCGGACGGCAAUUUUUGGCGAACCAUGUUUGACUAUUAUUGACCAAAAGGGUAUUCUAGUGUAGCUGGUUGAAGGGCUUGGAUUUUACCCGAGUCAUUUGUAAGUUGCUCGUGGUUGUGGUUCUCGAGUGCGUUUAAGACCAUGUCAUGUAUGUAUUGAACUUGUCUUGAACUGAACUUGCUUUGGAUCUUGUCUUUGGUAGGUCUGGUACAGAUAGAACUUUUUGAGCCAAUUCAUGCUGUGUAUCCUCAUCAGUUGUUACUAUGUUUUUUGGAAUAAUUUAUAGCCCAAAAACAUCAAAAAGAAGACUCAUAUUUGUUAAUAGUCAAAUCAACAUUUAUUUGAGUCUAUUUCUC
rnacentral:lncRNA from 1 species